rnacentral:rRNA from 1 species
GUACGUAGGGUGCGAGCGUUUAAUCGGAAUUACUGGGCGUAAAGUGUGCGCAGGCGGCCGCGCAAGUCGAGUGUGAAAAUCCCCGAGCUUAACUUGGGAAUUGCGCUCGAAACUACGUGGCUGGAGUGUGGCAGAGGAAGGUGGAAUUCCACGUGUAGCGGUGAAAAUGCGUAGAGAUGUGGAGGAACACCGAUGGCGAAGGCAGCCUUCUGGGCCAACACUGGACGCUCAUGCACGAAAGCGUGGGGAGCAAACAGG